ACCCACCGUCCAAAAAGUACAGGCACGUAUCCAUUUUACGAAUUAAUAUUUCUCAUGGGCCCAUAUUUUCUAAAAUUAUAUUUUUCGUUUUAUUUCUAGUCCAAACUACCCUCUUCUUCGUUUAGAUUUCGGGGUUAUCUUUCUAAAGAGACAGAGAAAGCCGACAGCAAUAAUAGAUCUGUUUUCUGAAGCUAUGCCUUCUUAAAUUAAUUCUUCUUAGCCUAAAUUCGAGAUUGAGAAACUCUGUAAAUCAAGUUGAUUCCAUUUUGAAAACCUAGAAUCAUAUCGGCAACGUGUUGUUGAAAGUGUUCUCAAGAUCUGUGAGAAGAGAUGAAGAAAAUCUUCAUCAAUAUUUGAAUCUGAAGUUUCGUUAUCGGAAACUAUUUGAAAGAUAAGUUUUGUCAUCUUUUAUUAUCUCAUCUAUCUCUUGGAUUUUGCGAUUUUAGGUUUUAUAAUUGCCCCUUAAAUUCAUUGCAUCUCCUUGUGUAUGGAUUCACAUUUUAUUCUUUAUUUGUUUCUAUAUUUGUAAUUGAGAGUUGGAUAUUUGGUUGGUUAAGUUUAGGUGACGAAUCGUGUUCGUAUGAGACUGUGGAUGAAGCGGCUGUAGACAGUGUCGCCAUUCACUCUGUUGAGCUCACCUAGGCACCUCUUCUUAUGCUCACAAAUGUUUUAUGAAUUGUCGUUGUCCCAUCUGUAGAGACUAGACAGAGAGAAAACUAGAGCGAGGGACAAAGAAACAAUAGUGGGUUUAGCAGAGACAGAUGGAAGUCAUUUUACUGAGACACAAAAACUGAAAUGGAAGUUAAAACUCUUGGGUAGUGGGCAGUAGUACUAGUACUAUGAAAUCUCUCCAAUUAUUGUCUCUUCAAUCUUCAUUCAUUGUUAUUCCAUCAUCUCCAUCUUCGACAACUAAUGAACUGAGAAUUGUUAAACCUUAAAUAUAUCCAUUUAGUGACUUGAUAGGAAUUUCUGUUCAUAAGAAUUUUUUGGUGGUUGAUUUUCAGGGUUAAUGGAAACUAUCUGAUGGUAUAACGUCAGAAUCACUUUGAAUUGUUAUUACAUAGUAAUUUUGUGGAAUUAGUACAGAAAUUAAACGAUUAGUAACCACAAGAGGAACUUCUGUCGAUUUGGGUAGUCUAGAUGAAGUAAAGUGCACCAUUACUGCAUUUUCUUUUUAAUUCCUUGGCAGCUAGAUGCACAUAGGUUAGUGCAUUCACAUUUUUUUUGUGGUUAUCUUUUACUAGUGGAGCUUAGUUUCACACAUAAAUUUCUGAAAUACUGGUGCAGGGACGGUUGUCGUCGGUAUUGAUUGUCUAAUAUUGCAGUUUGGUAUUCAGCUCUUUUAACAAAAUUGUACACGUUAUUGAUUGUCUCAUUUGUUAUCAUGCAAGUCCUUGUACUAUUAUUUGACAGAUAAAUAAAACUUGCGAGAUUCAGAUCAA